AGCACGUUAUGGUGGGCACUCUAAGGAGACUGCUGGUGCAAACCGGAGGAAAGGUGGGGAUGACGUCAAGUCAUCAUGGCCCUUACGGCCUGGGCUACACACGUGCUACAAUGGUCGGUACAAAGGGUUGCCAAGCCGCGAGGUGGAGCUAAUCCCAUAAAACCGAUCGUAGUCCGGAUCGCAGUCCGCAACUCGACUGCGUGAAGUCGGAAUCGCUAGUAAUCGUGAAUCAGAAUGUCACGGUGAAUACGUUCCCGGGCCUU
rnacentral:rRNA from 1 species